GACGAACGCUGGCGGCGUGCCUAAUACAUGCAAGUAGAACGCACAAUGUAUACCGUAGCUUGCUACACCAUACACUGUGAGUUGCGAACGGGAGAGUCACGCGUAGGUAACCUGCCUGGUAGCGGGGGAUAACUAUUGGAAACGAAAGCUAAUACAGCAUAAAAUUGAUUAUUCCACGUUAAUUGCUUUAACAGUGCUAUUUCAUCCCUAUCAGCUGGUCCUGCGUUGUAUUAGCUAGUAGGUGAGGUAACGGCUCACCUAGGCGACGAUACAUAGCCGACCUGAGAGGGGGAUUGGCCACACUGGGACUUAGACACGGCCCAGACUCCUACGGGAGGCAGCAGUAGGGAAUCUUCGGCAAUGGAGGAAAGUCUGACCGAGCAACGGCGCGUGAGUGAAGAAGGGUUUCGGAUCGUAAAGCUCGGUUGUAAGAGAAGAACGGGGGGGAGAGUGGAAAGUUCACACUGUGACGGUAUCUUAACAGAAAGGGACGGCUAACUACGUG
rnacentral:rRNA from 1 species